rnacentral:lncRNA from 1 species
UCAAGACUUUCUCCGAGGUAUGAACAAGAACCAGGCGUCUGGGCCCUUUCCGCUCGCCCCAUCGCUCAGCCGCCGCGCCCCGGACGCCCGCUGUGCCCCCUGCCGGCGGGGCGGCGGCGGGACUGGGUUUCGGGAGGGUUUCUGGAAGUCGCGAGUCCCAGCGAAGGCAGUGCACCGCUCUCCGCCUCUUUCUUCGCCUUCUUCUCGCUCCCUUAGCUCUGGGUGUCGGGCACCGGUGCUAUGAAACCCACGUAGUCGAACACCGUGAUGCUUCUCCUGCAGGGCGUGUGAUGAGGAGGCGAGCUUGGCUUUGGAGUGCUGGGAACCUGAGGAAUUGCCAAGGACCCAGAGCCCAGCCCUGACCACCAGAGUGCCCAAAACACAAUGAACAAAUUGAAUUUUCAUAACAACAGAGUCAUGCAAGACCGCCGCAGUGUGUGCAUUUUCCUUCCCAACGAUGAAUCUCUGAACAUCAUCAUAAAUGUUAAGAUUCUGUGUCACCAGUUGCUGGUCCAGGUUUGUGACCUGCUCAGGCUAAAGGACUGCCACCUCUUUGGACUCAGUGUUAU